UCCAGACUCCUACGGGAGGCAGCAGUGGGGGAUAUUGCACAAUGGGGGAAACCCUGAUGCAGCGACGCCGCGUGAGUGAAGAAGUAUUUCGGUAUGUAAAGCUCUAUCAGCAGGGACGAAAAUGACGGUACCUGAGUAAGAAGCCCCGGCUAACUACGUGCCAGCAGCCGCGGUAAUACGUAGGGGGCAAGCGUUAUCCGGAUUUACUGGGUGUAAAGGGAGCGUAGACGGUUGCGCAAGUCUGGAGUGAAAGGCGGGGGCCCAACCCCCGGACUGCUCUGGAAACUGUGUAACUGGAGUGCAGGAGAGGUAAGUGGAAUUCCUAGUGUAGCGGUGAAAUGCGUAGAUAUUAGGAGGAACACCAGUGGCGAAGGCGGCUUACUGGACUGUAACUGACGUUGGGGCUCGAAAGCGUGGGGAGCAAACAGGAUUAGAUACCCUAGUACC
rnacentral:rRNA from 1 species